GAGAUCACCCUGUGGAGGAAGGGCGACAUCGUGAGGAAGAGUAUGUCUCACCAAGCCAUCAUGGCCUCGCAGCGCUUCGAAGGCUCCUCUCAUCCAGAGAAGACCCCGACCCAGAGCCAGAUCCAAGAAGAGGACGGCUAAAGCCCAGCAUGCACCUCACCCUCCUGUACUUUUUCAUGUUGGAUGUAUCUUGCCGUCUGAGGCUGCGGAACACAGCCGUGGCGUUUGUUAGUGCUGCUGGACUCUCUUCCGUCACUAUGAUCUCCUCUUACAGUUUGCAGCCUGCUUUCUGAUUUGCACUAUGAACUCAUCCUGCUUCUUUCUGCUUUUAGUGCUCUUUAGAAACUGGACUUUAUGGUAAAAUGAAAAUCACAUCACUUCAAGUCAAAUAUGGAAGGUUUUUCUCCUGUGUCUGUGUCGUAGUUAGCUGCUGGGUGCCUAAGGAUCUAUUGCCUAAACGUGUGGGUGCUUUAUUAAAAAGCUUCACGCCCUUUCCCCCUCUCAAACUGCUCAUCACUUUAGUUCCUGCAGUCACUUAUCAUAACAUGGGUUUAGUGCCAAUAAUCUCUUCAAAUAAUGCUAAUGUGAACACAAAUGAAUGUAUAAGAAACACACAGGUUUAUUUGUUGUUUCUAGUCGGGGAGAUUCAAUCAUUGAAUCUCUAUGACAUUAUUCUUUUAAAUGUAAUGACCUUUUCUGAAAAAGAUUGUCUUCAUUCUGAAAAAGAGCACACAUGUGAGUAGUAAAUGUGACAUGCCGUGCAACCUGGCAAAAUCCUCUAUUUUAUAUUUCAAUCUUUUAUUGGAAGUCAUUCAGUUUCUUAGCACGUUGUUGCUAAACGCUUCCAGACUGCUGUUCGGGUAAACAACAUGUUCUGGCUGAGGAGGAGAGAAAAAUAAAUUCUAAAUAAUAUUUCGGAGCAAAAAAAACAAAAAACUUUCCCUUGCUUGUUUCUUAACUCAAUCCUGAUUUCAAGCUGAUUUUGUUAGCGGAUCAAAAGUUUUAAACUUGAGUCACACGUUUAAAGUUGGAGCAGCUUAGAUGAUUGCAUAAUUCCUGGUCAACAAAUCAAAUAGAGCUUUCUGUUUGCUGAGCGUCAGCUGCUCUCUUUUUGAUGCAGAACUUACAGUUGGUACAUUGGAUGUUUGGGGUGAAUACACACAAGAGGACCAUCAAAUGAGUCCGAUGUACGCGUAAGAAAGACGGCAACAAUCCCAUAAACCUCUGUCUGACAACAUGUGUAGGGAUGUAAGGUAAAUCCCUAUACUAACAAUAAAGAUCCACUGUCUCUCUCCCAUACUGAAUACAUUCUGCAUUGUUUCCCCGCCUGACUCUUCAUGCUUCAUUCUGGCUGUUACCUGCAGUCAUACAAUAGCACUUCACUGAAAUCUGUUGAUUACAAUUCAGAAAAACAAAACAUGUUUGGUGUGUGAUUUUAAUUGUUGCCGUACUGGUACAGUGACACAGUAACUAAGCUAACCCAGUUUGUAAUAGAGCGUAGACCCAGAUAUAAAUAGCAAAGAUUUAUAAAAUGUAAAGUAUAAAUGCACAA